rnacentral:rRNA from 1 species
AGCAACGCGGAAGAACCUUACCAAAUCUUGACAUCCUUUGACCCUUCUAGAGAUGGAGUUUUCCCUUCGGGGGACAAAGUCCGGUGGUGCAUGGUUGUUGUCAGCUUUGGUUUUGAGAUUUUGGGUUAAGUUCCCCAAAGGGGGCAAACCCUAUCGUUUAAGCCCGUCAUUAAGUUGGGCACUUUAAGGAGACUGCCGGUGAUAAACCGGAGGAAGGUGGGGAUGACGUCAAAUCAUCAUGGCCCUUUGAUUUGGGCUACACACGUGGUACAAUGGCCUAUACAAAGGGAAGCGAACUCGCGAGGUCAAGCAAAUCUCAUAAAGUCAGUCUCAGUUCGGAUUGUAGUCUGCAACUCGCCUACAUGAAGUCGGAAUCGCUAGUAAUCGUGAUCCAGAU